UCUCUUGGACAGACAGCACCAAAGUUCGAAUGUUUGGACAUAAUCUUCUGUCAAACCAUCUGUGACCAUGAGUUCCAUAGAAUCCACAGUUACGCCACAAAACCCAGACAGAACGUUAUAUGUCAUGAUUGUUGCUGAAGGUGAUUCUGGAAUGAAUUGAUUAGGAACUUAGCAGGUUAAUCAGCCACUUAAAUAAGAUCUAAUGGAGCCUGCAGGCAUGUAAAACAUGCAGGACAACAGGGUUUCAUUACUGGAGUUAGAUAUGACUGUUCUAGACAAUACUGCAAAAAAGAAGAAUUUUCUUUUUAACCCUCAUUUUUGGUGAGACAUUCCAGCCCAGGAAAGAUGACUUAUAUCAAUGCUUGAAGUUUUCUGUAACUCCAGAGAGGUGAAGUUUUCUUUGCUCAUUCUCACCCCUACAGACCUGAAGCCCCCCAGCUGACUUUCAAGAAAAAAUAAGAUAAAACUAGAGAUAUGAAAACAUAUACAUUCAAGUACUCUUCUGCUGGGAUUUUGUUGAAAAAUUCAUAACCCGUUCAAGAAAAGCACAUUGGUCUGCACCCUGUUCACUUGGAAAAUACUUCACUUUGUUUUGCUGACAAUUCAGCUGAGCUGGCCUUGGACGAAGCAGCAAAAAAAUUGCUCAAGCACAUCAACAACUACAGCAGAAUUUCAGCUGACUCUGGUUUAGUGUCUUUCUGUGGUGAAAAUCUAUUUUUGAGGCCUUUAAUGGAUUCCUGCAAUGACGUCUAUUGAUACACAGGGAUGGAUGAGUCGCUGUCGCUGCAGAAGAAAAGGAGGACAAAGACUUGAACUGAUAAUGUAUACCCAUCAAUGCUCAUUCAUGCAAAACGCUGGCAGCAGAUGAACACAGACAGACAGACUCUGAGGUGAGCUCCUGCCGAAUGCUGCUUAUUCAUGCGCUCUGAAGACAAACAGGUUUCCCCUGAGAAGCUGUAAUGAAUGAAGCAUGAACACAAUAGUUUAUAAAAAAAAAUUGACAGGGAC